UAUUGUUUGCGGGGGGACUACUUGGUAGUUGAGAAGGUUAAAACCUGACCCUUUGAACCUGUUAGUUCAUACUGGCGUAGGGAAGCAAAUAACGAUUCAUC
rnacentral:ncRNA from 2 species